UACGGAGGGUGCAAGCGUUAUCCGGAUUCACUGGGUUUAAAGGGUGCGUAGGCGGGUUGGUAAGGCAGCGGUGAAAUCCCCGAGCUUAACUUGGGAACUGCCGUUGAUACUAUUUAUCUUGAAUGUUGUGGAGGUUAGCGGAAUAUGUCAUGUAGCGGUGAAAUGCUUAGAUAUGACAUAGAACACCCAUUGCGAAGGCAGCUAACUACGCAAAUAUUGACGCUGAGGCACGAAAGCGUGGGGAUCAAACAGG
rnacentral:rRNA from 1 species